rnacentral:rRNA from 1 species
UACGGGGGGGGCAAGCGUUGUUCGGAAUUACUGGGCGUAAAGGGCGCGUAGGCGGCCUUCUAAGUCGGACGUGAAAUCCCCAGGCUCAACCUGGGAACUGCGUCCGAUACUGGCAGGCUUGAAUCCGGGAGAGGGAUGUGGAAUUCCAGGUGUAGCGGUGAAAUGCGUAGAUAUCUGGAGGAACACCGGUGGCGAAGGCGGCAUCCUGGACCGGUAUUGACGCUGAGGCGCGAAAGCUAGGGGAGCAAACGGG